rnacentral:rRNA from 1 species
UGGGUACCUACAGAAGAAGUCCCGGCAAACUCCGUGCCAGCAGCCGCGGUAAUACGGAGGGGGCAAGCGUUGUUCGGAAUUAUUGGGCGUAAAGGGCAUGUAGGCGGUUCGGUAAGUUAAAGGUGAAAUGCCAGGGCUUAACCCUGGAGCUGCUUUUAAUACUGCCAGACUAGAGUCCGGGAGAGGAUAGCGGAAUUCCUAGUGUAGAGGUGAAAUUCGUAGAUAUUAGGAGGAACACCAGUGGCGAAGGC